AGAUGAACUGACUCAUCCAAGGUUACAAGGCCAGCUAGAGGCAGAGCUGGGAAUGAAAUCCCUGGGGACUCCUGAGAAAAGAGAGUUUGGCAUGCCUCCCACUGCGUACCGCAAAAGAAACAUGAGUUGACUGUUUUAAAUACACUCUCCCUCCAGAUGCUGGAUGACAUGAUGAGCCUGGCUGGGAGCCCACUCUCUGCUCCAUCGGCCCACCCUCCCUUUGUGUUGUCUGUGGGUGGAGUAAGCUGUUGCCAACCGUGGCCAAAUGAAAAGCCCGAUGCCCUCCCUUCUCUCUAAAAGCUAUUUAUUGUUUUCCGAGGAGCCAGCCAUCAAAGAGAUCUCCUGUGCCCCACGCACUCCUCCCAACUCCCAGUUUUUGACUGAAAAAAUGCUAACAUCCGACCAGAUACCAGAAAAACAUCCUGAAAGACAAUGCCUGGACUCUUAUUUCCUAGGGAGCAGGACCAGGGCUUAUUACCACAUCAGCCUAUCUUGUUUUUACUGCUGUGAUGUUGCUGACAACAUAGCUGAAAUCUCCAACGUC